rnacentral:rRNA from 1 species
AGGUUUGUACAAUGGGGGAAACCCUGAUCUAGCCAUCCCGCGUGUAUGAUGAAGGCCUUCGGGUUGUAAAGUACUUUUGGCUGAGAAGAAAAGGUAUCUCCUAAUACGAUAUACUGCUGACGGUAUCUGCAGAAUAAGCACCGUCUAGUUACGUGCCAUCAGCAGCGGUAAUACGUAGGGUGCAAGCGUUAAUCGGAAUUACUGGGCGUAACGCGUGAGUAGGCGGAUCGGAAAGAAAAAUGAGAAGUCCCAGGGCUCAACCUUGGAACUGCAUUUUUACCUGCCGCGCUAGAGUAUGACAGAGGGAGGUAGAAUUCCACGUGUAGCAGUGAAAUGCGUAGAUAUGUGGAGGAAUACCAAUGGCGAAGGCAGCCCCCUGGGAUAGUACUGACGCUCAGACACGAAAGCGUGGGGAGCAAACA